AGCGAACGCUGGCGGUAGGCCUAACACAUGCAAGUCGAACGGCAGCACAGUAAGAGCUUGCUCUUACGGGUGGCGAGUGGCGGACGGGUGAGGAAUACAUCGGAAUCUACUUUUUCGUGGGGGAUAACGUAGGGAAACUUACGCUAAUACCGCAUACGACCUACGGGUGAAAGCAGGGGAUCUUCGGACCUUGCGCGAUUGAAUGAGCCGCUGUCGGAUUAGCUAGUUGGCGGGGUAAAGGCCCACCAAGGCGACGAUCCGUAGCUGGUCUGAGAGGAUGGUCAGCCACACUGGAACUGAGACACGGUCCAGACUCCUACGGGAGGCAGCAGUGGGGAAUAUUGGACAAUGGGCGCAAGCCUGAUCCAGCCAUACCGCGUGGGUGAAGAAGGCCUUCGGGUUGUAAAGCCCUUUUGUUGGGAAAGAAAAGCAGCAGGUUAAUACCCCGCUGUUCUGACGGUACCCAAAGAAUAAGCACCGGCUAACUUCGUG
rnacentral:rRNA from 1 species